AACAUUCCUAAAACCCGCCAUGCUUUCAGUAAGAAGAGUAGCAAGCACUGAGCCCACAAAAUGACACAGCACAGGAGGGCACAAACUCUGUAUGCCCAGGGAGAGCAGUGUUGCAAUGGGAGGCAGGGUGGCUAUGGUAAACAGACCAAGCCCAAUUUCCAGAAGAAAAGCUGAAACUAUGUAGAAGAUUAUGCUGAGGCUUGAAUGCUUGAUCUAAGAAACUCCAACUGCAAAUCUAAGAAAAUGCUGGCUAUUAAUACAGACACAAGCAUUUUGAACUGAGAAGACAUAAUAAGAGAAAAGGCCAA
rnacentral:lncRNA from 1 species